rnacentral:misc_RNA from 1 species
AAAUUUUUGGGAUAAAAGCUUAGCUGAGUUGAGUUAUAUAACCUAAAAUUUUUUAAUUAGAAACAGAGCAACAUGAGAUUCAAAGGUUGUCAUUUACAUGAAUGGAAAGCGCUUGCAUUCUUUUAUUAUCAAUUUAUCAUCAUCAUUAGCAACCCAAUGUUCAGUUCUGGCUCAUUCUGCGAUGUAUGGUUUUCCUAGUCGAGGGCCACGUACUUGAUAUACAUCGCUCCAGCGAAAACAACUAAGAAGCGUGCGCGGAGCAAAUAUUGAGUAGAGAUUGAAACCCAAUCAUAGAAAUGAAAACAAAAACAAGUGGUAGUAGAUAAAUAAAACAGAAACACAGCAGCCAAGCCAUGGAUAUUAACUUAAACUAAAAAAUAAAAAUAAAAAUCACGAACACAUUAUAUGCAUAUAUAUCUAUCCAUAUACAGAAAAAAGACCAUGCAAUUGACAAGCGAACUACCCACAUGCUAAAAACCUUUGUAU